CCUCAUCACUGCCAUCAGCAUCAGUGUCAUCAUUGCCAUGGCAACGACAAAGCUAGUGGUCCAAGGGAGGCCUAGGUGGGUUUCUUAGAAUUGUCUUUAUAGAAGCACUGCCACAAGGUGGCAUCAGAGAUCACACUGGGUAGUUACAUCGCCUUGACACAUAAGGAUGUGUGCACAGUCACUGCCUUCUGGUUUCCCUUCUUGGCAGCAACAACAAUUUCUGUGUCUUCCACAGAUACUCAGUGAAGAUGACAGGUAUGCUGUGCUCAUUUUUCAUAUGCAGAAUAAAGCUACUUUCAGAAUUAAGGGCCCAGGA
rnacentral:lncRNA from 1 species